rnacentral:ncRNA from 1 species
UCCUUCCUUGUCUGGGGGUGGACUGGGCGGCUCAAUGAGCGUGUAGCGAGAGCAGCCCUGCUGACACCUAACCAACACAAUCCGCAUCACCUGGACUGCAGUGUUCGGGCUAUGGUGCAAUUUUUGGAACC